rnacentral:rRNA from 1 species
GAUGAACGCUGACAGAAUGCUUAACACAUGCAAGUCUUUGGCGAAGCUGUGCUUGCACAGCCUAGCCAAGGCGGACGGGUGAGUAACGCGUAAGGAACUUGCCCUGCAGUCAGGGAUAACAGACGGAAACGACUGAUAAGACCUGGUAAAGUCAGGCGGACUCAUGUCCAGCCUGAUGAAAAGAGAUGCUGCAGGAGAGCCUUGCGUCCUAUUAGCUUGUUGGUGGGGUAACGGCCCACCAAGGCGAUGAUAGGUAGCCGGCCUGAGAGGGUGGACGGCCACAAGGGGACUGAGAUACGGCCCUUACUCCUACGGGAGGCAGCAGUGGGGAAUAUUGGACAAUGGGGGCAACCCUGAUCCAGCAAUUCGGUGUGCACGAUGAAGGUUUUCGGAUUGUAAAGUGCUUUCAGCAGGGAAGAAAAAAUGACGGUACCUGCAGAAGAGGCGACGGCUAAAUACGUG